AGCAGAUCCAUAUCAGUCUUAACAUGCUCAGUAGUAUUGUGGAGCGCAAUGGCCUCCUCAACCAACAAUGAACGGAUGGAUCGUGGAGGCCGCGCGGCUGUGCUACGAGGAGCCCCAGCGGAGUGCCGUGUGGCAGUGGGUGCUCCGACGGCUGCAGAGCGCCCAGAUACCAAUAGAGCUGCAAGCCACCAGAGACCGAGAGAGAGGUCUGGACAAGCCUCCCAUAGUCCGCCACUACGGACCGGUCCGGUCCCACUAUAGAAACACGAGGGCCGUCGUAGACGAGCAGCGCCCCUUCGUCCUCGUCCAUGGGAUGCCCCAGAUCCCUCAGGUACACCGAGAGGACCCGUCCGAACGGAAACUUCACUACGGAACCCCGGACGGCUCCUCGGUCGUCUAUUACCCGUCCGGGGGCGUGGCGGUGUGCCAGACCGGAUCGGGUUUGCCCUGCGGAGGCUUCUACACCAACGUGUUCAGCGACCGCCCGAGCCCCGCGGUCAUCGCUAGCAUGACCGCGUUCGGUCGCGGUGCUGCCACGCAUGCCGUCAGGUGAGUCCGAGGUUCCGCCCUCGCUCCGUCAUAAAAACCAGGAAAAGGGGCUGAUUGUUCAAUGUGCUCAGAGCGCAUUGAACAAUCAGCCUCUUUUCCUGGUUUUUAUGAUUUGUAUAUCUGAACAGAGUGGAUGAUGGACUCGAGUUAUCUUUAUCUUUAUUCAGUGAUCCCCGUUAGCUUCCACAGCUGUGGUCGCUCUUCUUCCUGGGGUCCACAAUAAAUAAAUAAAUAACAAUACACAGACAUAUAAACACACCUGCAGUACAAAAAACAUAUCUUCAUCACAAAAGUCUGAAACACUGUAUAUACAACGCUUCAAUACAUUGUACAAACAUCACAAGUUUUAAACAUUUCGAGUUUAUAAGUUCAGCCAGUGUUGGUCGUGUCUCUUGGCUCUAGUGGGGUCGUCUCGGCUCUUUGGGACCGAGCUGGGGGGAAGCUUUGUGGCCCGGACGGCACCGUGACCAAAGAGUGGUCCUGGCUGGGAGGUUCGGGCUCCAAGGAGAGGGUUCUCAUACAGGUCUCAGAUUCAAUCUCUGUCAAACUACUGAAUGGCACUUCUGGCCUGCUCCGCUUCAAGUGUCAAGGAGAAACGAUCCAACUUCCUCUCUCGGCCCUGUCCAGCAUGCCCCCGCCCACAGACACGGUACCGUCAACAAUACCUGAGUGAACAAAGAGCAGACAAAAGGUAUCUCUAGGCAUUCUGAUUGCAAGCGGUUUUAAUCCUCAAUCAUGUGGGUUGUAAUCCUCUAGGUGUAUGUGGAGCCCAACCAGAGGUUAAUGUCCCGCAAGGAGCCAAUGCUUCCAAAGAGGAGGGUUCCUGGGCACAGUGCAGAGAGCAGGCUACUGCCCGUCCAAACCGUGAGACCAUUUCACUCGCUCUUUUGUGAUGAUGAUCAGGACGACGAUGCUGAUGUCACAGCAGUUACAAAGCAAUACCAUUAAGUGGAUUAUUUUAUCGUACAGUAUGUAUCACUCUAUUCUUUAGUAUCCAAACGGCCUUUAUUUUUGACCUUCAAUAAAGGUUGUAUCAGCGAUUCUAGGCCGAAACAUAAAUGAUCGCAUUCAUCUGAUCUUUCCUCACGAUCCGCUAGCUGCCUGCCCCAUAAGCAGGCCGUCAAACGCGUCUCUAUAGGCAGCUUAUGCUCCGAGGUCGUACACAAAAACGAAUGGUACUACCAACCACUCAAAACCACAAUAAAUAGUAUUCCAACCAAUCACCGACAAGGGGUGGGUGUUGUGGGGUUUUGCGCUGCGUUCAUGAUAGUUUCUACUGGAUGCACCGAACAUGAAAGGGAGGGGCCAACAGGACAUCGCUGAUACAACCUUUAAUCUCCCUUUUGGGAGUAGUUGUACCUGACCAAACAAAAGAACCACCUUUUCUCCUACAUCUGAUUUGUCCCGGAGUCCCUGAAUUCUCCCCUCAUAG
ensembl:lncRNA